UCAACUUAGUGGAAGGGUAGUUCGUACGAACCACCUCUGGAUCCGCCACUGCAUUCUACAUGAAACCUGAAAUAAAAAGACCAUCUUUUUCAUUUUUACAAUAACAAUAUUGUAGAGGAAACAACCACGAGCGUGUAGAUUGCAUCUAGCCAGUAGCUCAGGAAGUACUUAAAGAAUUCUUUUGCUUUGUGCAGCGCUUCCUCCAAAAAGCGCUUCCUCUAAAAACGUUAAAUCUUGUUCAAUUCGAAUUACCACCAAUUAAUUCACUUUCUCUCCAGAUAAUAAAAUCAGCAGAUCGCAGAGUUGGUAGUAGUAAGCAUGGUUUUUUUUCAACUGGUUGUUCGUUCCUGAACAAAAAGAACCAAAAAAAAAGAUCGUUGCACCUCCACUUAUGGAUUGAUUUGGGUAGAUCGAAUAUUAAGAACAAAAAAUGCAUGUGUUGCACCCCCAGGCGGCGGCUGAUUUAUACUAUGUGAUUUAUACUAUGGGCGUGGUUUCCAGUCUAGCAACUAGCAACACUGCACUGUACUGUGCCAACCCGUAUGAAGUUUAUUUAAUACUAACCUAAUACUAUACUAGUUAAUCAUAGAAAGCCAGCUAUUGGCCACUAAAAUGUGAAUCGGAUCAUGUGCUCUGUCAGUAUCAGUAUCAGAGUUCUCUGUCGGUAAUAUAUAAUGUUUACCAUAAUUAUAAUGCCACAAUCAAACAUAUCCACAAAUCAAACAUAUUAACAUAAUUAUUAUGCUAAAUAGAUAAUAAUAGUAUACUGUAAUAGUUAUGGCAUUAUUCAGAAAGUUUGGCAUUAUUCAGUUAAUCACGGAUAACUUUCCAGCUGGUGGAUGACAGCUUGGACAUAUCCAAACUUGGCUCUCGAAAGGCAGCUCCUUCAAUAUGGGAGGUGAUUCCCGCCAAAAUAGCUGCUUUUCACUGAGAGGUCUGAGAGGUGUAUUUUUUGAAUGGUCUAUUUUUUAUUAGGAGGUACAUUUUUGCCCGAGAGGUGUAUAUUUUUGAGUGGUCUAUUUUUAUUAAGAUGUGCAUUUUGCACGAGAGGUGUAAUCUAUUCUAUUUUUUUAAUGAGAUAUGUUUAUUUGAGAGGUGUAUUUUUUGACGAGGUGUGUUUUCAUGGCAUUGCAUGUUGUUCAAUGCCAAUGGUUUAAAGGUCAACUAUAUCGCAGUUCUGCGCAUGCGCAAUCCUAGGCCACAUGGUCAGUAGCUCUAGCUAGCUCUAGUCUUGCUCAUAUCGUGUCGACAAGAGUCAAUAUACCAAUAUACUAUCACUAUACUAUAUCUAUGGAAGAGUCCAACUCUGAGAAUCUGAGGCAGCAAGUUUUGCAGACAACAAACCUACUUUUGAGGGCUGUAGAUAGACUUGCGGCUGGAUCAAGCUCCACUGGCACCAGUGUCGAGGUCACUUCCAACUCACGCGAAGAUAUCCGCCCAACUAGCCAACUAGCCAAGAUGCAGGUGGAAUUCCUGGCACAGCCAACUCACGCCCUCAAAGAGGUGUACUUAACGCUAACCAUGCAGGUGCUAGUGGAUCUGGUGGAGCUGGAACAUCUCGUGAAAUGGCUAGACUCUUCAAUUGGAGUGGCAGUGAAGGGUCCGUGCACCAGGUCCUAAGAGUACUGCUACAGGAGUUUCGAAAAAAAAGAAGUUGAAGAUGUACAAGCACACGUUUGUUUGCCUUGCCAGUACAACUCAGAGGUGUCUGCCAGACCAACCAAUGCGAUCUAUGCUGCAAUUAGCUGGCCUUGGUGAAAAGCACUUAGAAAUGUUCCUGUAUGGGGAUGCUACACUUUGCAUUGCUGGAGAAUUUCCCAAGACUUGUAGAUGGGGGUGGGUAUGAACUUUUGAGGCUAAAUGGCAAGGGUGAGAAAGAGCUGAUACUGAUAGACAUGCCAUCUGAAGGGUACACUCCUCAUGUCCUGAUCUCAAGUUAGUUGAUCUCCAGUGCCAAAAUAUUCGUACGACCACUACAAAGGAAUUGUUCGUUGUAGUUGUCACCAUACUCAAUUUUAGAGAGGAAGUAGUCGAAGUGUUCUUCAAGAGUGUCAAACAUAAGUUACCAAUGAAUGAAAUCAAAGAAGAAAAGUUGGCUGAAAAGUCUCACCUGCAGACAGACCUACUGAUGCUGAGGACCACAAGAAUUUAGGAGGCCACAUUUUCUGGAUGAUGUACUGAUGCAGAUGGAUUCAAUGCAGUAUUCUCCAACAAAGAAGAUUGAGGUGAGCUUCCUGGGUGAAUGUGGACUAGACGAUAAAAAGAGAAUUUCUUAGCAUGCUACCAAAAGCCAUGUCCAAGUGUUACAUGGACUGUGGUUCUUUUAACCACGACCCUUGCAGAUUACUGAUGCUACCACCGUUGAUGAUGUUAGGAAAUUAGCUGGAGAGCAGUUUGAUCUGUUGAGUUCUUGUGGCUUUGUAAAACCAACAUCCAGCAUUUCACUGGACGAUCGUGCUGUUAUUGUGAAGGCACUGUUUCUACAUCAUACAUUGCUACAGUCCAAAGCAGAGAUAGAUCAGUAUAAUUAUGGAAGGCCUGAAAGCAUUGGGUGUGUUGAAUUCAAUCAAGCAGCAUGCUACACUUCUAAAGCCAUUCUUUUGUGUUGGCCAAAAGGAUAUUACAGCAGAUUACAUUCGUGGAAUGUUGAAAGAUAUCAAGUUCUCUGAACAAGGAUCUUCAGCUCGUGAAAGAGAAGAAGCUACAUAUAUGCAUUUUUUGCGAUAUUUGCAAAACUGUGAAUGGGACAACAUGAAGCUGAAGCUGAAGAAGAAUGUGAAGGUAAAGUCACGAUCAGAACGAUCAUAAAUUUCUUCACCGGGGCAGAAGAACCGGGGCAGAAGAACCUCCAAUGGGAUGGGAAAACUGUCCUGUUCUAAACUUUAAUGAUGACAAUCCUUUUCCCACUGCUUCUACUUGUGCUUUGCACCUGACUCUGACUCUUCCCACUCGUUACUACAAUGUCACUAUAAGGAUUUUGCCAAGGCAAUGGACGUUGGGUUCAUCUAUCAUGGAGGCUUUGGUCUGACAUGAAGUGCUGCAUACUGGCUGUUUUUCAUAAUACUCUCUGUAUCACAAGUGUUUUUUUCUCAUUAUCAUCUCAUGUCAGACACCAAUCAUAAAAAGUAUAUAUCCAUGAUGUUUAUUCUCAUUCAUUAUCAUU